UUGGAGUUGGCUUUCUCAAGCAGGUAAUUCAAAGGUUCUCUUCUGAAUAUUUAUUUCCAUGGAUAUUUUCUUGUUUUAAUUCCUAAUAAUCAUGGAAUCCCAUAUUUUGGCAGCCAAAAUGGAAUGAUUUACUCCUGGAAAUGUUUCAAAUUGACUACAUUGGAAACUCCCCUUACAUCACAUGUCAUCCAUCACUAUAUCACCAUAAAUUAAGCUCAAGAGACAGGUUUCUAAUACUGUCAUCUGACGGGUUAUACCAGUACUUCACCAAUGAAGAAGCAGUCUCAGAGGUUGAACUGUUCAUUUCUGCAUUUCCUGAGGGAGAUCCUGCCCAACAUCUAAUAGAGGAAGUUCUAUUUCGUGCAGCCAAAAGAGCUGGUAUUGACUUCCAUGAGUUGCUUGCCAUUCCACAAGGGGAUCGGCGCCGGUACCAUGAUGAUGUUUCUGUGAUAAUUAUUUCUUUGGAAGGCAGGAUUUGGCGUUCAUCUUUGUAAAUAUAGCAAAAGUUCCAUUAAUCGUAUUAGCCUUGGUAUUUCUCCUCAUUUUUGGCCUUGGAUCAUAAUAUACCAACUAGGUUUUAGAGAAAAGAAGUUGUUGCUGCAUAUAUCAAGUUUUUUUUAUACCGUAAAGGUUGUACAAAAAGUAUUCUUGUUCUAGUAAUUUAGCUAUCUCGUAAUGCAAGUCCUCCCUUAUAUUAUCAGGUGCAAUACAAUUGGCCGUGACUGGUAUUUGAACUUGAAAUAUCACAUCCCUGAAGAUGACUCCAGUCUCAUUGAUUAUUUCAACCAUGUUAGAUUCCAAUACUUUGCAUAUUUACUUUUAGUUUUGAUAUAUUCCUUAUUUGAUGGCAACAAACGAGAUAUGGGAGUUACCAACACAAUCCAUUUU
rnacentral:misc_RNA from 1 species